UGAAAGAAAUCAUAGAUGACACCAACAAAUGGAAACACCCAUGAUCAUGGAUGGGAAGAAUCAAUAUUGUGAAAAUGACCAUACUGCCAAAAGCAAUCUACAGAUUCAAUGCAGUUCCCAUCAAAACACUGAUAGGGACAGGGGGCAGAGAAACUCCAGGAAGAAAGGGAAUGGGGUUCCCUGACAAAACCCCACUGUUAAGCCGAAAAGCCUGAAACUGUGGCCCAAAGUGAGGACUUACAUUCCUAUUUUUCUGCUUGAAUGUUGCCUUUUCCGAUGCCACCCGUAGUCCACCCCCCACCCCAUCCUGUGCCUAUAAA